AACGAACGCUGGCGGCAGGCCUAACACAUGCAAGUCGAGCGGACAUCUUCGGAUGUUAGCGGCGGACGGGUGAGUAACGCGUGGGAACGUGCCCUUUGCUUCGGAAUAGCCUCUGGAAACUGGGAGUAAUACCGGAUGUACCCUUUGGGGGAAAGAUUUAUCGGCAAAGGAUCGGCCCGCGUUGGGUUAUGUAGUUGGUGGGGUAAUGGCCUACCAAGCCGACGAUACAUAGCUGGUGUGAGAGGAUGAUCAGCCACACUGUGACUGAGACACGGCCCAGACUCCUACGGGAGGCAGGAGUGGGGAAUCUUAGACAAUGGGGGAGACCCUGAUCUAGCCAUGCCGCGUGAGCGAUGAAGGCCUUAGGGUUGUAAAGCUCGUUCACCGGGGAAGAUAAUGACGGUACCCGGAGAAGAAGCCCCGGCUAACUCCGUG
rnacentral:rRNA from 1 species